rnacentral:lncRNA from 1 species
AACACCGGGGAGUUUUUUGAAACUUAUUGAACUUCGAAUUGAAGACACCGAUUUGGUGCGAUGGAGACCUCAACGUGGAAGCUUCCCGGAGCUUCGUAGACUAAGCAUGCGGCAUUGCUACAAAUUACAACAGCUCGAUUGGCCGUAUGACCACUCUUGGAUAGAGAUCAUUGAUUUACGCGAGUGCAAUCCUUUAGCUGUCGCUUGUGCCAAGGAAUUAAAAGACAAGUUUUCCUUUCAACUUUCGUCAAAUCUUCUUUUUGAGGUCAAGUGGAUCUGCAACUUGCCAACAGGUUAGUCUUACUACUUUGCAAUAUCAAGUCUUAAUGUUUCUGUUAUAGUCACAGUGUUUGAGAUUGUCCAUCUAUCGAUUUUCAGGCAAAUGAAAGAGACGAUCGAGAGUUGCUUCCCCUGCCGCAGGUGAGUUUCUGCUGUCUGUAGAUUACUAGUAACUUGUUUAACAAACGUCGAGGCCUUUGUAUUACGAGCUGCUGUUUUUGAAGAUCUCUUCGCAAGAUUCUUAAGGAGUUCACUUGUUCAAGGCGCCAUAAGGUAACUUCUUUAUAAUGCAUAACCUAUAAAUGAAUCGAUUAACUUGUAAGUAUUGGGCUCGUUAGCUUGCAAACACGUUCGUGUACAAUUUUCAAUAUCAAAAACCAGAUUUUGAGUUGGGCUGAAUUCCCCAUGGCAUAAUUUUCUUCUAUUCCGACUUGGGCCCAAUAAUUAUAUAAUACACAAAAAAUAACCUUAAAAUAAAAUAUGUACGUAAUAGGAGUAAAACUAACAGAAAACAUUAUAUGUGAUGCUGAGGCACUUAAGAAAAAUAAAGUGUGUGCAUUUUCCACAUCAAAUACAUAUCUUAAGUUUGUGAAAUGCUAUUGUGUUUUAAGACUGAGGAAAAUAAUUCAAUUAUACUUCCUCCGUCCUCAAAUUAUAACUUCAUAGAAGGAAGGAACACGAGUUUUAAGACGAAAAAGUUAAAAGAUGAAAAGUAAGGAUAAAUGGGGUAUUGAGAGUGGCGAAAAGAUGAAAAAUAAGGGUAAAUGAGGAAUUAAUUGUGGUGGAGUAGUGCCCAAAUAUAGAAAGAUUUUUUUUUUGAACGGACCGAAAAUAAAAGUUAGAAAGUUAUUUGCGGACGGAGGAGUAUGUAUGUUUAGAAUAUCUAGCAAAACCAAUAAAAGAUCACCAUGAACUAUAAUCUUUUUAUCCCUCAAUCCAUCUCACAUUUGAAUUUUCCUAAAAAAGGUAUAUAAAUUCAUUAGAAUUUAUAUAUACACUAAUAUAAAAAAAAUGUGUUGGGCACAAACUAUAGAUUGUCUAUUAUAUUCAUAUUACAUACUCCCUUCGUCCCCAAAUAACUUCUUAGUAGGGGACGACACGAGUUUUAAAGAAAAAUUUUAAGUGUAUUGAUAAAAAAAAAGUUUUAUAAUUAAUAUUGAAAGUGGUGAAAAUGUGUUAUAAUUAAUAUUGAGAAUGAUGGAAGGUUGAAAAGUAAUAAUAAAUAAAGUAUAUUAGUGGUGGGGUAAUGUCCCAAAAUGAAUAUGAAGGUAUUUGGAGAACUGAAGGAGUAUUUAAUUUUAAGAGUAAUUAUAUAAAGUAUAUAUUAUAUAUCUAGAAGAAUAUAUUAAUUCAUUAGACAUUAAAGUACUACAAAAAUAUGUCAAUUAAUUAUAUUACCUUAUCAUAAAUCUAUUUGAUGAAUCUGAAAAUCUUUUUAGAAUCCUGAAAAAAUAUCCUAUGAAAUCUAACUAUUAACUAAAUAAAUGAAAAUUCAAUAUUAUAUAAAUAAAUAGGUUACAUAUAAAGUGUACUCCAUCCGUCCCACGAAUCUUGAUACGCUUGGUUUCAGCACGGGAAUUAAGGAGUUGUAGAUUAGUAUUUUAAGUGUGUAGUUAAUGAAGUAUAAAAGUGAUAAAGUAGGAGAGAAAAUGUAAUAUAAGUGAUAAAGUUAAUCGAUAGCGUGUUCGUGCUCGUAAAAUGAGUUUCUCUCUUUCACUCUGCAGAAGCCAUUGUGUAGAUGUUGCUAACUCAUAUAUAUAAAGUGCUCUUGAUUUUAGAUCGAGUUGUAGAAAUCAAGAUUUGAUGUUAAUUUCAUUGGACUUAAAUAUUUGUUUUUUUUAACUAGUGGUAAUAAUAUGUGUUCUAUUUUAAGUCACAGGCUAUUCCCUCAAAGUUGAGAGUUUGCCUUAUUUUUAUCAACCAGUUUGAUCGAUUUUGAAUUAUUUAGAUUGUCACAAGGAUUUUGCAUAGGUCUGCCUAAUAUCUUUGCAAUAUCACAUUUUUUAAUGUUCUUAUUAUAUUCACAGUGUUUGAGAUUGUCCAUCUACCGAUUUUCAGGCAAAUGAGAUAGCCGAUCAAAGGGGUCAGGCGUUGCGUUAUCCCAUAAUUUCGAUUGUUGUAUUACCACAUUGUCGUAUGAAUUUAAGGAUUGUGAAACCUGAGUGCUGAAUUUUGUUUGUAACCAAAAUUGUUGUAAGUUGGAUUUGUGUGAAAACAUGAGUCCCUUAUUCAGUUCAAGGAUUGUAAUAUUUGUGAGUUCUGCAUAGUUUUAACUUUGUUUUCAUAGUGUGUAUGUGUGGUUAAAGAUGUUGUUGAUUUAGCUAUGAAGAAGAAUCUGAUAUUCUGAUUAAGAGCUCUUGUUGUCUAAGAAGAAAAGAAUUGAUGAAUUAUCAUUCAUAAAAUUGGGCUUCUUCAUAUAAUAAACAAAAUUUCGGCCCCAUACAAAAUCAAGGCCCAACCUCCAUCAUUUAUCUUUUAAAUUUUGCCUCAGUGUCAAAUUAAAAGGCAUCAAAUUCAACUCAAUUUCUUUAGAAGACAUUCAAAUUAAAUCCAUGGCACUUUAGAUAUUCCACCGGUUAUCUUGUUAUAUUUAUGGUUGAAGUCACUAUGUGGAAAAUAGGACCUAAUGGUAAAAAACAUGAAUCAAACUUUCAAUAUUUUCAGAAAGAGGACUAUAUAUUACGAAAUUUGAAAAUAAGGACUAUAUUCAACAAAGUAAUGAAUCAAUCGUAGAUCUUGAUAAUCUAAGAGCUGAAAAUGGUUCUUAUUUUAUAUUCUAAGAAGUGUUUUUAUUUUAGCUCAUCCCAUCCAACUAAUAUCUAAAAAAUUGUGGUAAGAUAUAAACAGUAGAAUGAAUCAAUUAAAUAGACCAAAUCGUUAAUUGAAUAAUUAAAUAUAAUAUAUAUUAUAUUUAUAUUUUUUAUUUUAUCAAAUAAAAUUAUAUUAAUUAUGCGUACAAAGUGACAUUUAACAUAGUAUGAAAUUUUCUAACUGAGAUAAACGUGUUAAAAGAGUGGAAAAAGUGAGAAAAUAUAUGUAUUUCAUCAUUUUUUUAUUAAAGAAAAUGCAUCCCAAGACUUUAUCAAAUUGGUUCAAAACGAGAUAGAUAUAUAUAAUAUUGAGUCACAAAAGAUUAUACUGAACAUUGUCUGAAUCGCCAUCACAUGCUUUGCAUCGAGAUCAGGUAUUGAGAGCUGUUGGCUUUUGGUCCCAUUUGCCCAUUCCAACAUUAAUUUUCUCAUAUCCCCAUGCAAACUAUUAGUUUAUUACACCCUGAUUAUUUUCCUAUUCAUCUUGAAUAUAAGGAUUAGAAAUUUCACAUUCUUGAACUUUUUGCCUUACUCAACCUAUUUGGAGGAUUGGAAGUCUUCGCUUAAAUCAUGAUAUAAUUAACCUAAAGUUAGGAUGUUAUAUUUAUAAAAGACUUAAUAUAUUAAAAUACUCACUUCCAUAAUAUGUCUAUGUAAGGGGGUGGGUAUUUUUCAUAGACAUAUUAUGGGGGUGGGUACUUUUAAUUCCACCCCUUUAUAAAAUUGGUUUUGGCCUGAAAUUCAAUAAUUAUGGACAAAAAUACAUUGGAAAAAUAUAAUUUUGUUAUAAACUAGAGAUAAACAAGAGAAUAUAGAAGAUAAUACGAAUUCAGUGUAUUCAAUAUGAGGGCCAGAAGUUAGGGUUUUAGGGAGAUUUCUUGGUCAACACACAUAACAUAUAUCUAGAUGAUAUAUUUACAACAAAUUUUAUCUUUUAACUGUUGGACUUUUAUGUUGUACCCAAAUGCAAUCUUAUUGAUUGAAAANAACUUUCGUUUAUUUUAUCAUCAGUUCUAAUAUAUUUGAUCAUCUGCUGCUAAUAUUAAGGCCACAAUCGAAAUCUCUUUAACUUGAGCUUCAAAAUCCUCAAACCAAUUUUGCAGUCCGAUACAUAAAACUCUACCUCGAAUAGUUGACGAAACUCUAAUUCUGCAACGUCAAAUUGAUGGCGUAAUAAAAAGUUAUUUAGGAGGUUUUGUAGUUCAAGUCAAAGAUAUUUUGAUUGUGGUCUCAAUUUCAGUGAUCGAUAAUCAAAUAAGUCAAAAUUGAUGCAACAACAAUUAAAAGUGUGGCAGCCCGAUUUUGCUAAGGAUAGCUAAACCGAGAAAUCAACGAUUAAGGAUGAUCGGAUUAAAGAAGUGGUGAAAAAAAAGGCAUCGAUCAUAAACACUUAAAUCUCAUUUUAAAUAAUAACCAAAUUAAAUAUGCAAGAUGUUGGAGUUAAUUUUUAACUCCAUAAAACUUUCCUAAAGUUAUAAAAUUUAAUUGUAUUGUUUUGCCUUCUUCACGUGUUAUGUUGUGUUUACGAUAACAUCUUUUUACAUCACUUGUUGGUUUUUGUAAGGUUUCGGAGUAUUAUUCUUGAACUGAGUUUUGUUCUUUAGUGAGAGUGUCAUGUGUUUAAUAUCUAUGUCAUUGCAAAGGUAUUGAACGUGAAUUGUUCAUUCUCUAAUUAGUUUUCUUGACAUAUGGUGUCUUCUUCAUUUAUUUUUGUUCCGCUACUUUAUACUCCGCGUGCUGUUCCAAUAUUCCGCACAACAUUUUGAUCCAGACGAAGCAACACUUUCACAAGAAAUGAUAGCUAAUAAAAGCCGACAAGGUGCAUAGAUAAUUUAUAUAGGAAUUCUCUAAAAAAAAUUAUUUUAUUAAAGAGGUUUUACUAUAAAGUUUAGUAAUUUAUUUGAGUAUCAUUUUAAAGAGGUUUUACUCUCCAUCUUAAAAACAUAAAAUUUGUCCACUUUUUACAAUUUCGGACUGCAUUACUCUUAAUUUGGAUGGACUGGAUCGGAUUGGGCGUGUUGAUUCAGUGUUACUUUUUGGAUUGUACUAAUGUUAGUAAUUUGUUUUGUAAAUUAUAAUAAUUUAGAAUUAGAAUACAAAUGAUUUAUAAUUUAAUUUUAUUAGAAGUUUAAUUUGCCUUAAAUCCCUGAAAUUAAAAUUAAUUAUGUAAAAUAAACUUAACAAAUAAACAUCCCGAGGCAUUCAACGAUUAGUGAUGUGCACAUGGCGUCAACAAUGUCGAGGCAUUUGUGUGAAUCAAUGCAAUUUAAAAAUAAUAAUCCUUUAACAAUGGUGGAGACCCUCAAUCAACCACUCACUUUAACAAUUCUCUUCCACCUUCAAAAUCCUAAUCCUUCCCACCACCUACCGCCGUUGCCGUUGAUAUCUCAUAUUUCAAUCAAGUUAUGGCGGCUUUUGGUGCCGCAGCUUCUCUCAAGAAUACGAUUCUGCGUAUUCUACAAUCGUCUCGCAUUUCUCUCGUUUCCCACUCUCCACAAAUCUUGCAACCUGCCUACGACGAGAUGGAUCGAUUGCAGAAAGUUCUGCUCAAAUUGGACGAGACCAGCUGCAGCAAGAUCAGGACGAAGGUGAAUGCUUUGGAUGAACUCAUAAAAGAGGCAGUUUGGGAAUUCGAAGAUUUACUCGAAUCCCAUAUCUUACCUCAGAUUCUUCCACAACUCGAAAGCGAGAGAGACAACUUGUCUUUCUCUGUAGAUCUGCAGAGUCUGCAACACCAUGUUGAUUGCUUCGUCGAGAUGGUGAAGAUGAUGGAGGAAGAGUACACAAUGAAAUGGAGAAUAUGGCUGAAGAAGAAGGCGACCUAUUUCCUCAAGAAUUGAUUCUGGUGGAAUGAUCAAUCAAGAUGGUUGGAAUCUAUGAUUAAAAAGCCAGAGAAUCUUCUUAAGAAAACUAUUCGUUUUGGGAUGGCGGGUUGGAAAGACAACUCUUGCUAACAUAUAUUUGAAGAUCCAACAAUUCGGAGCCAUUUUGAGUUUCGAGCAUGGGUCAAAGUGGGCAGAAAAUGCGAACCCAAUGAACUAUUACGCUGCGUUCUAGCUCAAGUGGAUCCCAACACUUACCGAAUGCUUGCCCAAGGAGAUGAUGAUGAUGAGGAAUUAGUUGGAUUAUUGAAAGAAAAAUUGCAGGAUAAGAAAUGCCUCGUCAUUUUGGAUGAUGUUUGGGGGGUACCAGCAGCAAAUCGCUUGACAAAUUGCUUGCGAGAAAAGAAUACUCUUGGAGGGAUUCAGCUCUUACUUACAAGUAGACAAUGUAUAAAAUACAAGCAGCAUGGGGGCAUGAGAUUGAGCUUGUUGAAUGAAGAAGAUAGUAAGAAACUACUUGGUGAGAAGGUGUUUGGUGAGAAGGUGUUUAGUGAAGACGGUUUCCCUCGUCAACUUGAGGAACUGGGAGAGAAGAUUGCCAAGAAAUGUGAAGGUCUUCCUCUUAUGAUAGUCACAGUUGCAGAGCUCCUAUCAAAAGCCGACAAGACCCCAGAAUACUGGACUGAGGUAGCCUACAAACAACACAACUCACUUUUCGAGGAUGCAUAUAAUCAAAUAUCAGAGGUACUUUUCCCAAGUUAUGACUACUUACCCCAACAUUUAAAAAUGUUCUUCCUCUAUAUGGGAGCUUUCCCUCCUUAUGAUGAUCAGAGACCAUUCAAUAUUAAUUAUCUUUUGAGUGUUGAGGGAUUUCUUGAACUGAAUGAUGAAAAAAGUUUUGAAGGUUUCUGGGAAAAGCUUUCUCAGGAGUAUUAUCUUGUUCUCGACACAGAAAAUUCUUGGUAUUCGGGUAGAGUAUCGCGUGCAUUCUUGUUGGCAGCACUUAUGUAAGGUAGAAGCUAGUAGGAUCAAGUUUCUACAUGUCUUACGAGGUUGUGAUGAUGUUAUAAAAGACAGCGCCGCUUGUGUGCCCAUUAACAUUAUUCGGCUUCAAACAAGUGUAUGAUUUGAUAAAAAGUGAUUGUGCAUCCACUGCCCGUUCUCUCCUUUGUUAUGGUCCUUAUCACCCAUAUCCAAUCCAAUACAUGCCAUGGGUUUCAAGUUGCUCAGGGUACUAUAUGCUCUUGGAGUUCGAUUUUACCAUAUCCCAAUUGAAAUUUUGAAACUUGUUUGUUUGCGGUACCUUUCCCUAAGUGCAACGGGGAGCUCCCUCCUUCCAUAUCCAACCUUUUUCACCUUCAAUUCUUGAUUAUCAUCCACAUAUUAUUAAAAGCGUGGAGUUCGUCUUAUAUGCCUGUGCAAAUUUGGGACAUGCAAGAACUAGAGAUUAGAUGGAAGGACCUACCAACCCCUAAUACUGAGAUGCUACCUUGAACAAACUCACCACUUUAUGUGUGAGUGCAAAAGUUGUACAAGGAAGUUCUCAAAAGAAUUCCUAAUUUAAAGGAUUAAUUAGUGGAGUUGAAGCCUUAUGAUGAUGAUGAUGAUGAUGAAAGAAACCCAUCGAGUUGCUUGGGUUAUAUCUCCCAACUCCAGAAUUUGAGACUUAAUAUUGGGUUAAAUCCCGGAUAAAGUAUGAGUGUAAUACGAUUCCUCUUUCAAUGUUUCCAUCAAUCUCAAGGUGUUAACGUUGUCUGGUUUAGGGGGGUAUCCUUGGAAUUACAUGAAUGAAUUGGUUCGGCUCCAAAUCUCGAGAUUCUCAUUAUAUUAUGCAUUUCGAGGCCCAAAGUGGGACAUAACACCGGGGAGUUUUUUGAAACUUCUCGAACUUCAAAUUGAAGACACCGAUUUGGUGCGAUGGAGACCUCAACGUGGAAGCUUCCCGAUGCUUCGUAGACUAAGCAUGAGGCAUUGCUACAAAUUACAACAGCUCGAUUGGAUGUAUGAUCACUGGAUCACAAUUGUAUUAGUCGAGUGCAAUCCUUUAGCUGUCGCUUGUGC